UACGUAGGUGGCAAGCGUUGUCCGGAUUUACUGGGCGUAAAGAGCGCGCAGGCGGUCGAUCAAGUCGCGUGUGAAAGCCCCCGGCUCAACUGGGGAGGGUCACGCGAUACUGAUCGACUCGAAGGCAGGAGAGGGUAGUGGAAUUCCCGGUGUAGCGGUGAAAUGCGCAGAUAUCAGGAAGAACACCUAUGGCGAAGGCAGCUCUCUGGGACGGUACUGACGCUGAGACGCGAAAGCGUGGGGAGCGAACAGG
rnacentral:rRNA from 1 species